GGUGCCUAAAGAAUGGUUGUCCGAGGUGUGGUCUCUAUAUUUAUGACGAUUAAUAUCGGACAACCAUUGCUUUAGUAUC
rfam:Dipodomys ordii contig_2202, whole genome shotgun sequence.